rnacentral:misc_RNA from 1 species
UUUCCGUAGGUGAACCUGCGGAAGGAUCAUUGAAGAGAAUAUGCCCUCCGGGGUAGAUCUCCCACCCUUUGUUUAUAUUACCUUUGUUGCUUUGGCAGGCCCGUCUUCGGACCAUCGGCUUCGGCUGGUCAGUGCUUGCCAGAGGACCCAAAACUCUUAUUAUUAGUGUCGUCUGAGUACUAUAUAAUAGUUAAAACUUUCAACAACGGAUCUCUUGGUUCUG